UAAGGAAUAUUGGUCAAUGGAGGGAACUCUGAACCAGCCAUGCCGCGUGCAGGAUGACUGCCCUAUGGGUUGUAAACUGCUUUUGUCAGGGAAUAAACCUUUCUACGUGUAGGAAGCUGAAUGUACCUGAAGAAUAAGGAUCGGCUAACUCCGUGCCAGCAGCCGCGGUAAUACGGAGGAUCCAAGCGUUAUCCGGAUUUAUUAGGUUUAAAGGGUGCGUAGGCGGUCCUAUAAGUCAGUGGUGAAAGACGGCAGCUUAACUGUCGCAGUGCCUUUGAUACUGUAGGACUUGAAUCUAUUUGAAGUGGGCGGAAUAAGACAAGUAGCGGUGAAAUGCAUAGAUAUGUCUUAGAACUCCGAUUGCGAAGGCAGCUCACUAAGUUAGUAUUGACGCUGAUGCACGAAAGCGUGGGGAUCAAACAGG
rnacentral:rRNA from 1 species